GAUGAACGCUGGCGGCGUGCCUAAUACAUGCAAGUCGAGCGAACAGACGAGGAGCUUGCUCCUCUGACGUUAGCGGCGGACGGGUGAGUAACACGUGGAUAACCUCCCUAUAAGACUGGGAUAACUUCGGGAAACCGGAGCUAAUACCGGAUAAUAUAUUGAACCGCAUGGUUCAAUAGUGAAAGACGGUUUUGCUGUCACUUAUAGAUGGAUCCGCGCCGCAUUAGCUAGUUGGUAAGGUAACGGCUUACCAAGGCGACGAUGCGUAGCCGACCUGAGAGGGUGAUCGGCCGCACUGGAACUGAGACACGGUCCAGACUCCUACGGGAGGCAGCAGUAGGGAAUCUUCCGCAAUGGGCGAAAGCCUGACGGAGCAACGCCGCGUGAGUGAUGAAGGUCUUCGGAUCGUAAAACUCUGUUAUUAGGGAAGAACAAAUGUGUAAGUAACUAUGCACGUCUUGACGGUACCUAAUCAGAAAGCCACGGCUAACUACGUG
rnacentral:rRNA from 1 species